rfam:Xenopus tropicalis strain Nigerian Chr03_contig_3067, whole genome shotgun sequence.
ACAAAGGCUCUUUUCAGAGCCACCGACACUUUCUGGGAAUGAGCUU